rnacentral:tmRNA from 1 species
GCCAUUGAAAGUCAUGUGAAAAUACACUAUCUCAUGGGUGCCUCCGCAAUGAGGCUAUGGUGCUAAACCUUAUGUGCAAUAGAUGUACAGGACGCGGCUUCGAAGCCGCCGCCUCCACCAAGAACAGCCGAAGCCGACUGCUGUUGAUGGGGGCGAAAUGGGAUCGACUGGCAUUGAAAGACAUAAGCUGUGCUCGGCAUGAUACCACCGUUAUCGGGUCAAAAAGUGUAGUUGCAAACGACAACAACGCUAAGGAAUACGCUCUCGCUGCCUAAUGGCGGUGCGGGAAUUCCGCUCUAAGUCCUUUGAGGUAGCACUUUAAGGCGGGGUUCGGAGGUACCUGGCAACAGAAACCUCCACC